UAUAUUUCCAAAAUAUCUGGGGGGGCUAUUACGGUUUCUGAAACGAGGUGAAAAUUACAAAAAACCGUGAUAGCCCCCCUGAGAAGGUGCAAUUGGUGUUGCAAAAGCGAAUUGGUAUUUAAUCAACGAGAUUCAGAGACGGAAGCACAAGCCCAGGAUGAUCCUUCCCGAGAAAGCAGUCUUUCGCCGUACUUCGUCUGGAACCAAGAUUCAUAACUCCAGCGAUUAGAACCUAUUCGGAUGUACUCAAAUGCAAAGUUUGUCGUGCCAUGAGAUAUUUUCCUCCUGAACAAUGCAGUAUGGUCAAUGUUAAAGUGAUCGGGUGUUUACUGUUUGUAUGUGAUGGCGACACACUAUAGUUAUACCGGUGAUUCAAGAACAGAUUGGAAUAUUCCAUCUGCGACUUGCUCUCUUUGGCGAAAGGAUAUUUCUUGAUGCAUUCGACUUUAUUUGAUAAUCUAACGAGUUUGUAUGAAAAUGUCUUAGAAGUAUGGGAGAACAUACAGAGGAAUGCCAUUGAAAUGCAUGGGACUAGAGAGAGAU